GUGUGAAACUUGAGUUUGACUUUAGACACUUUGAAGUUUAAUGUCUCAUUUUUCUGCUCUCACAGAAUGUUGUGAAAGUUCUUUGAAGUUUUAAUCGUGUCUGAAUAUGUUUUAUACUGAAUUUUUCAGCUGAUCUUAAAGGAAGUGGACUCUGUGCUGUAUGUGGACACAGACAUGUUGUUCCUGCGGCCGGUGGAGGACAUCUGGAAGUUUCUCUCGGGGUUUAACAGCAGUCACAGGGCUGCUAUGGAGCAUGAGGAGCUGUGGUUGGUAUAACCGCUUUGCACAACACCAGUAUUACAGCAAGACUGGAGUGAACUCAUGAACAUGACACGAACACUUCAAGGACUCCACAGAAAGCUCUGCGGGUUUCUUCAUCAUUCAGAAAGCCAUACGAGUGCGGUCGAGUUAAGGUUGAAUUCCGAUGCUCCAUACAAAUGAGGUUACUGGACUGCAACAACACUUUCAGAAGUUUCCAGACUGAUACAAUAUGCAGAGGAUGAACUAGUCAAUGUAUUUGACAAAGUUUACCAGAGCUUUAAACAGCAUCUGGGUUUGUAACGACAUGAGGCUCCUCCAAGAACUCACUGUGUUCAUCGUCCAGCCACGGCUCCUCCUGAAACAACACAACCGUGACGGUAUCUCGUGAACAAAAUGACUGACGAACAUGUUCAUUGACAAAGUUUUUAUUUUCAUUUUGUUAAUUAUAACGAAGAUGUUACCAAACAUAAGCAUCAGGACCAUAAUGAAACUAUUUUAAUUGAUUUAAUUACAUGUUUUAAUAUGCAUUUACGGUACAUAACGAAAAUGAUACAUUCUGAAAAAAGCUGCAGAAACUGUAUAAAAGUAGAGAUUGAUAUGAGUUCUUUGUGUAUUGUUAUUAAUAAACAUACUAUCAUUAAUGACUAACAUCAAUAAUAAAUGUCUUCAUUGACUUGAACUUCACUAUAGCAACAGUAAUGACAGCAUAAAUGCAAUAUUACACAGACAAUGAAACAAAUGCAUGUAAAGGUGAACUAAGUUACACGCUAGCAGGAAUCUGUAACUUGCAUUGUGAAUACAUGUACUCUGUUUUCUAUAAAAACAAGGAAAACAGAAAUUUACUAACAUUUUAAAUUGAAAGUAGCUAAUAAUUCUGUAUAUUCAUUUCACGCUAUUAUUGAAGGAGCUCAGGUGCUUGAAUGAAUGUUUAUAUAUUUUUUUUAAAUGUUUCAAUAUUUGAUUUAAAGUUUGGUGUUACAGUUUGAUAUGCGUUUUUGUCAUUUUGCACAUUAUCAUCAACUAACAUAUGUUAUGUUAUGACUAAAACUGGCUAAAAUGAAUGACUAUGACAUGACAAAAUUCUGACUAAUUGUAAGGACAUUUUCAUCAGAAGACUAAAACUAUGACUAUAAAAAUGAGCACUGGGUGCAACAGAACCAUUACUGUAAAACUGUAUCUUUAAAGGAAUAAGUUAAAUAAAAUAAUUCUCUUUACAGUACUGCGGAAAAAUCUCAUCCAUUCAGAGGACUCGAUCUGUGUUGUAAUACACCAAACACAUGACCUCUUGACCUCUUUAACAUCUCACACUCAAAUGAAACAUCAUCCAUUUUUAUGGAAGUAAAUUUACGGUCAGCGAGUAUUUAAUUACAGCAAUCAGGAGAGGGUUGGAUAAUGUUCUCACAAGCUGCUCUGGAUUGCGAUGGUUUUUUCUCACAUGACCUAAGAACUGACCCUGCACUAUAUUAGCAUGCUAUUAGUUUUUAUGGCUUAUAGUUGGAAGUCAAUUACACCAACAUCACCCGUGUUGAGGGGAAUGUGCUGAGCAUCAGUGUGGAUUAUUUGUGAUCUGCAUCUUUAAAACAGAU